rnacentral:lncRNA from 1 species
AUUUCACUUAAUUACAAUCGAAAAUGAGUUUUAAAAAAUCGAUCGUUCGUCUCUUCGGUGUUCAUUUUAUUAAAUCUAAAGAAUGAGAUCCUGAAAUGUCGAAUGAAAGUGCCGACACAUCGAAAAUAUGCCGAUGGCUGAUAUGGUUGUUUAUAUACAAGUCUUCUUGUCGCGACAAUCCAUCCGAUAUGUAGGGACAACACUGCA